rnacentral:rRNA from 1 species
AACGAACGCUGGCGGCAUGCCUAACACAUGCGAGUCGAACGAGACCUUCGGGUCUAGUGGCGCACGGGUGCGUAACGCGUGGGAACCUGCCCUUAGGUUCGGAAUAACUCCCCGAAAGGGGUGCUAAUACCGGAUAAUGUCUUCGAACCAAAGAUUUAUCGCCUUUGGAUGGGCCCGCGUUGGAUUAGCUAGUUGGUAGGGUAAAAGCCUACCAAGGCGACGAUCCAUAGCUGGUCUGAGAGGAUGAUCAGCCACACUGGGACUGAGACACGGCCCAGACUCCUACGGGAGGCAGCAGUGGGGAAUAUUGGACAAUGGGCGAAAGCCUGAUCCAGCAAUGCCGCGUGAGUGAUGAAGGCCUUAGGGUUGUAAAGCUCUUUUACCCGGGAUGAUAAUGACAGUACCGGGAGAAUAAGCUCCGGCUAACUCCGUG